UGGAAAACACUCUCCGAGGAGUGGCCUCAACCAUGAGGUCCAUGGGCCGGAGUACUGGCACCUGAGUGAAGCAAGACAGAUAAAAAGGUGGUGAUAAGACAAGCAUGCUAACCCGUAACGCGGUGAUGGUGGUCGGGUCUCUGAUUCUUCCAUCUUCAUCCUUCAG